GGGCGAUUAGCUCAGUGGGAGAGCGCUUCGUUCACACCGAAGAGGUCACUGGUUCGA
rfam:Streptomyces sp. MnatMP-M17 genome assembly, contig: Ga0115259_10868